UUUAGUUUGAACUUAAUUAAUAAUAACAUAUCAAAUAUGUACGAUAAUAAAACGAAAAAAAAUAGAUUAACUUGUGACACUAACUCAAUCAACAACAUUAUUAAUAUAUACAAUUGAUGGCAGUAAUAAAUUAGGCAUAUUAAAAUUAAAAAAUAUAAAAAAAACAUUAAAAUAAUUUUUUGGUUAAGUGGUAAAUUUAAUAUUUUACUAAUACAAUUGACAUGUGUUCAAAUAUCACCAUAUGUAAUUUAAGUAACACCACUUGUGUCUGCUACCCUAGCACGAAAACGUCUGCCUAUUGGCACGCACUUUAGGUUUUUGUAUUUUUCAGCGUCAUUUGUCUUUGCCGGCGGGUCACUUUCAAAUAAAUUUUUCCCUAGUAAAGCAGGGUACAAUCAGGAUCAAGUCUCCGUCCUGCAAACAUGGAGAUGGAAUUAGCCAGAUUAACACUAAAUGAAGAAAAGGAAGCAGUUCUUCAAGUACAAACAGAGCAGCGCACACAGAGAGAUGAGGGGUUUUUCAGGUUAGUGGGUUGUUUCUUAACAGCAAGUGUUAUUCAUUUUCCUGCAAUGAAAAGUACUAUGGCAAAUUUAUGGCACCCGGUUCGGGGUGUCCAGAUUCGGGAUCUGGGAGAUAGAAGAUUCUUGUUCCAAUGUUUUCAUGUUAUGGAUUUGGAGAGAGUAUUAAAUGGAUCACCAUGGACAUUUAAUAAUCAUUUACUGUUGCUAUACAAAUUACAAUUGGGGGAGGAUCCAUUAAGAGUUCCUUUAAUCAGGUCACCUUUUUGGAUUCAGAUCCAUGACAUUCCAGUUGGUCUUUAUUCGAAGAAUUUGGCUAGACAGUUGGGAAAUUUUAUAGGAGAAUUUAUAGAGUAUGAUGGAUCAGAUUUGGGGAAGGAAAAUAGAAAUUAUAUGAGAAUUAGAGUACAGAUUGAUGUGAGGCGGCCUCUAAAGAGGAAGAAACAGAUUCAGUUUGGGGGUAAAUGCACAUAUGUGAGUUUCAAGUACGAAAGACUGUCCCUGUUUUGUUUUUAUUGUGGUCGUUUGGGUCAUAGUGAUGCUUUUUGUGAAGCAAAAAUGGAUGCAGGAAAGGAAGUUGUUGAUAUGGGAUGGAACUUAUCGCUGAGAGCCCAAUCUAGAAGGGCUUUAGCAAUGAAAAGUAUAUGGCUGAGAGAAGACAAUGUUGAUAAUUUUGGAGUUACUAGUGCAAACAGAUGCUUUCAAAGGAACGACAAAUGGGCUGCGGAACACACGCAAGGAUUUGGGCGACCUAUUGACCCAAUAUUGGGACUAAGCCUGGAAGGAAGACCGGUCUAUGUAGGGCGAGAGGGAGUUAAUUUGACGAUUAAUUCAGCUCCUGCUGAUAUGGAGCAUGAUCAGGAAGAUGGAAUUUUAUUUGGGGAGGAAGGGAAAAAGAGAGCUAGAGGGGAGAAUGAGGAGGAGACCAAUAAUUCAAUGAACAGGAAUAUACGAAUCUUGGAAGGUAAUUAUCUAUUAUCGGUGGCUGCCAAGAGGCAUGCCUACUGGGAGCAAUGAAAAUCUUGAGUUGGAAUGUCCGUGGAUUGGGGAGUCCACGGGCGAUUCACAGACUCCGGCAUUCGCUGAAGAUACAUAAUCCCCAAGUGGUUUUCUUUAUGGAAACUAAGGUGUGUAAAAAUAAAAUGGAAAGAAUUCGUCAUAGAUAUGGUUAUAUGAAUGGGCUUGAAGUUGAUCCGGUUAAUACUAGAGGUGGUCUUUGCUUAGCAUGGAGGAAUGAUAUUUGCAUUGAACUUAGCAGUUUUUCUAAGAGACACAUUGAUGUAGUGGUUGAGGAUAAGGAGGUAAAGGGCAAAUGGAGACUCACUGGAUUCUAUGGAUCUCCCUAUGCUCAAGACAGGAGUGAAUCUUAGAAUGUGUUGAAGAAUUUACACAAUGAUGAUGGGAGGCCUUGGUUCGUUUGCGGAGACUUCAAUGAGAUAAUGUAUGGCCAUGAAAAAAAGGGAGGGCUACCUUGUGAUGAACGAAAAAUGGAGAAUUUUCGUAAUGUUUUAGCGGAUUGUGAGCUUUUGGAUGUGGGUUUUUCUGGGAACCGGUUUACGUGGGAAAGAGGAAAUCUACCCGAAACAAAUAUUCGGGAACGACUUGAUCGUGGAGUUACCAAUGAUGCAUGGAUGAGUUUGUUUCCAGAGGUCACUAUUCAGCAUAUGCCUCAUUCUUUUUCAGAUCAUUGUCCUCUCUUAAUUACUACUAGGAGGGUUGAAAAUGGGGUUAAUACUAAAGUUUUCAAGUUUGAAGCAUGGUGGAUAAUGGAAGAGUCUUUUAAUGAAGAAGUCAAAAAUUUAUGGGAGUCCUCAUCUGGGAGCCUAUUUCAAAAGCUAGAUAUCUUAAAGGAGGGACUGAGACGAUGGGCAAGUCAGAUUCGUUUUGAUAGAAGAAGGAGAAAGGAUAUGCUCACAGCUAGACUAUCAAAACUUGAAAGGGAUGAUAGAGAUGAUAUCAACCUGGCAGAAUUGAUUGAUUGUAAAAUUCAAUUGAACUUUGAGAUUGAGAAAGACGAACGUUACUGGGAACAACGGGCUCGAAUAAAUUGGCUGAAAUUUGGGGAUAAGAAUACUGCAUUUUUUCAUAGUCAAGCGACGCAGCGUAAAAGGAAAAAAAUCAUACACAAACUAAACGAUGAAGAAUGAGGAACAACGGAGAGUUUUAAGGAAAUGGAGGGAAUUGCGCGAUCUUAUUUUCAAAAUUUAUUUUUAACAGAUGGACGAGGAACCCUUGACCAUUUGUUAUCAAGUAUUGAGAAAUGCAUAUCUGAGGAGGAAAACCAAGAUCUUUUGAGGCCUUAUUCGGCAGAGGAGCUUAAAGAGGCGCUUUUUGCAAUGGGUCCUACCAAAGCACCAGGUGAAGAUGGCUUCCCGGCACUAUUUUACCAAAAUUGCUGGCACAUCAUUAGGGAGGACGUCACCAAAUUCUGUUUACAAAUUCUGAAUGAAGGUAUGGAUUUUUAAAAAAUUAAUGUGACUCAAAUAAUCCUUAUCCCUAAAAUUGAUAAUCCUACUACUAUGAUGGAUUUCUGUCCUAUUAGUUUGUGCAAUGUGCUUUAUAAAAUUAUAGCAAAAUCGAUUGCAAAUAGGCUCAGAGGAGUUAUCGGAAAAUGUAUUGAUGGGGCCCAAAGUGCGUUUGUACCAGGCAGAUUGAUCUCAGACAAUAUUCUACUUGCAUAUGAAAUUCUUCACACUUUUAAACAGAAGAGAACUGGGAAAAAAAGGUCUUAUGGCAGUCAAGUUGGACAUGAAUAAAGCAUACGACAGGGUUGAGUGGAAUUUUAUCAAAGAAAUGAUGGCAAGAAUGGGGUUUGAUUUGAGAGUGAUCGGAAUUUUGAUGAAAUGUUUGACAACAGUCUCCUACUCAGUAGUUGUAAAUGGUUAUAUAAGAGAAAGCUUUCAACCAACAAGGGGACUUCGUCAGGGAGACCCACUUAGUCCGUUUCUUUUUCUCAUUUGUGGGGAAGGGCUGUCAUGUUUAAUGAGAUUAGCAUGCAGGGAAGGACUAGUGAAAGGAGCCAAAGCCAGUAGGAACGGACCACAGGUAUCACAUUUACUGUUUGCUGAUGAUUGUAUCUUAUUUGGUCAAGCCACAAGUAGGGAAGCUAAUUUUUUAAAGGAGAUUUUGGGGGAAUAUAGGAGAUGCUCGGGGCAAUGUGUUAACUUUAAUAAGUCCACUGUCUUUUUUAGCAGUAAUACAAAUGCUGAAGAUAAACGAGAGGUGGUAAACAUUUUGGGGGUACGUAGUUCAGAAAAUCUGGAGAGGUAUUUGGGAUUGCCCAACACAGUUGGAAGAAGGAAAAAAGAAUCUUUUCAUGGCUUAAAAGAUAGAUUUAAGAAACGUAUUGACAAUUGGAGUACCAGGUUUUUGUCUCAGGGCGGGAAAGAAGUGUUUAUUAAAUCGGUCCUGCAAUCUAUACCAACUUACUCUAUGUCGUGUUUCUUAUUACCUAAGUCUUUAUGUUCAGAAAUGGAAAGCAUUAUAGCUCAAUUUUGGUGGCAAAAGGGGCGUAGAAAACGAGGAAUACAUUGGUGUGCAUGGAAAAAUCUUUGUAUUUUAAAAGAAAAUGGGGGUCUUGGUUUUUGAAACAUGAGUCAGUUUAAUAUUGCAUUAUUAGCCAAACAGGGGUGGCGUCUUAUUACUUAUCCAAAUUCGUUAGUGGCUAGAGUGCUCAAGGCUAAAUACUAUCCAAACACGGACUUUAACAACGCUCAGUUAGGAAAUAUACCUUCUCUCACCUGGAAGAGUGUGUGGGCUGCUAAGGGAUUGUUGAAUAAUGGACUAUGUUGGAGGGUUGGAAAGGGUGAUGGAAUCUCGAUCUGGGAGGACUGUUGGAUACCAGGCAAGGAACCUGAAGAGUGGAACCGUAGAAACAGAAGUGAAGAGUACAAGUUAGUCUCAGAAUUAAUUGAUUCAAAUACCAGAACAUGGAAGUCAGAUAUUAUCAGUAGUACCUUCCCAAUUGAGAUUGCUCAACAAAUCAUUCAGAUUCCUCUUGCAAAAAUUCCUCAUAAUGACCUUCAAGUGUAGAAGGGAGAAUCGACCGGAGAAUUCACUGUCAGAAGCGCCUACAAACUAUUACAAGAAACUAGCUUGGAUCCUAGUUAUUAUUAUUUACAUGCCGACUCAAUGAAUUUCUACAAAAAACUUUGAAAUCUAGGACUACCCUCAAAACUACUGAUUACAAUUUGGAGAAUUACAUGGAACUAUAUCCCGACUUUUGCAAAUCUAAAACAUAAGCGAGUAAUUAAUAGUGCUUUAUGCCCUCGAUGUGGGAAUGGAGAAGAAGACAGUGAGCAUGUCUUUUUGAAUUGCCCUGUAACGGUAGAGAUUUGGAGGAAGUUAGGGGUCUCAUGGGUUGACAGAACAGUUCACAAUAUCUGGGAAUGGAUCACCUGGAUCUUUCAGAAGACCGCUAUUCAACAGCGUCGCUUGCUUUGCUGUGGCUUGUGGAUUAUCUGGAGUUCACGAAAUAAGCUUGUACACGAAAGGAAGUUAGAGUCAGCAGAUGAGAUUUCACAGAAUAUUCGAAGAUAUAUGGCUGAGAUUGAAGGAUUAGAAGAAAAAAAAACUUAUCUCUCCAAAGGGGUGUAGAAGCAACGUUUUAGAUGUAAACACCAGGGCAACGAUUCAGUUUGACGCUACACUUGAUAAUAGAAACCACAGAUCAGCAUCGGGAGUAGUGGUUUGGAGUCAGACGGGGGAGCUCCUUGCAUUAAAGUCAAUGAUCAACAUAAAUGUUUCAUCUCCGUUUGUUGCAGAGGCGUAUGCAGGCUUACAGGCUGUUGAGUUAGGGAUAUCGCUAAAACUUCCCUCAGUAACGGUUAUGGGAGAUUCUCGAACAGUUAUCAAAAAAUGUCAGUCAAAGAAUUCGGAUAAAUCAAUCAUCGGUACAAUAAUCAGAGACAUUCAUAGCAGUAUGCACAGGUUCUAGGAAAUAAAAUUCCAAUUUAUUAAAAGAACAGAGAAUGCCUAUGCUCACAACCUGGCCAAGGAGUCUUUGAGAAAGAAUGAAUGAACGUACCAGAGAAGGCCGGAUCUGACUCAACACCAUUCGCAACCGGAGGGAAGGUGGAGGAACAACCCAGAUUGAGAUUUGUCUAGGGUUAAUGAAAUGAAAUAGAUAGCUGAAAAUCGUAUAUGGAUCGGCUAUUGACAAGCAUAGAGAAGACAUUGAUGUGAAAGGACGAGAAGAAAAUGGAGUACAGCUGUGUCUUGGGAAUCGGCUAGUUUAAUUUCAACAAGUUUCCUUUUAUUUGUUUUUCAAUUAAUAGGCAGGUUUUUUAUUAGAAUUUUUAAUUAUUUUUGAAAUUAAUGGCUAAAGAGAUAGGACAAUGAUGGGAUAGGACACCUAGAGUGUCAUAGGCCUGAACCAUUAUUAUUAGGUUUUGUAUUUGUCUUCUUUAUUUAUUUAUAUCUAGCCGAUUUUAUUUUCAAAAAAAAAAUAUCACCAUAUGUACUUUUUUAUUAAAG
rnacentral:lncRNA from 1 species